UAUUUAUUUAGAGAACAGCUCUUAUUGCUGCUGUUUUGCCAGAAAACAUCCUCUGGUUUCCGCUGGCCUCUGAGCCUGCAGCAUUAGAGAUUAUUUUCCACAUUUGUUUGCACAUUGCUUUCAUUAAUGCUUCCAGCAGAAGUCUGUGGGCACUAAAGCGAGGAGACAGGGCACAAAAUCAAUGGCAGGCAGGCAGAAGGAUGUGGCAUGUGAAAGCCCUGCAGGAAUGUGUUUGAAUAUCACCAUAGAAAAGUUUUUGGAGGUUUCGCAAUGGUUGUAAUGGUACACAGCCAUCGCGGGGGCUAUCCCAUUAGCUACUGUGGGUUGACUGUUCGGAUGAAGGUAUUUCACCUAAAGUAAGGAGGCUGUGUCUGCUUGAAAAGUUUUACAGGGUGGGACUCCAAUUUCAGGCUGACUGUAUCCAGGGAUCUCCUGUACCCAACAGUCACCAGAGAGCACCACACAAUGAUAUAUAAAUAGCUAAUUUUACUUUGGGCAUGAGCUUUGGUAAGCCUGGCCAGUUCCUUCCUCAAGCUUUUCCUUACAAAGUGCAUGUCAUCUGGGAUUUCUGUAUCAGCUGGAACGACUUAUUUUGCAGGAGUGUGAUGGUGAUGAUGCUCUGUAGUGGAUAGGGGAGAGGGGGAAAGCCGUGCCAGAACAGAAACAUGUCAGGUUAUUUUGGUAUGGGGUGAAGUGGGGGACUGGUCCCAUUGAAAUAACGGGUUUUGGCUCAGACUCCCAGUGCGUCUAUUUUCUCGGGUGAGGCAAAGAGGGAGGCCAGUUAACACACGGUGAAAGAACUGGUCCUUCCCAUUGGGGGCCAUUGGUUUUGCCCUGCUCACCCUGUUUAUUCGCAGGCAGCUGACUUGUCUUCUGCUUGGCUUUCUCUUCCCCCAGCUAAUGCAGACUGGCCAUCUCUCCCAUUUAAACAGAAUCCAGCAGUAUUUUGAUGCCAGGGAAAAUACCAAAAUGUUGCUCUGAAAGCCACAAAGGGUUCAAUUAUUUCCUGGAGACGAUAUGAAGCCUAUUGAAUUGCAAGAGAUGGUUAUCGUCUCUUACUUGUGGAGGAAAAGGGCUGGGAGUGAGUGGAAUAGAUAUCAUUGUGUAGGCAGCUUUUGCCUAUGAAAGUCACCCAGCUCAGUUCAUAAAAUUAGGUUAAGCACGAACUGCAAGAAGGGAAAAGGAGGACUGAAAAUCUUGGCACUUUCUUACCCUCAUCUCUUCUCCUCCUUUGCGCUGGGCUUGGGCUCCAGGGCCUGACGGCUGUGUAAAAGGGGAGCACGCUCGGCUCUGGAGAGCGGGAGAGGCAGGGAUGUCUCCUGUAGUCCUCCUCUCCACUGCUCCUCCUGGAAACCAGCAGCCUUUCAGUAGGGCAAGAUGUGUUGACUGCAGGGAUGAGAGGGAGCUAAUUAGCUGUCUGGGUGUUUUAUUAGGUGGACAAGAAAUGGCUUUUCUGGGAGAACAAGAGAGGAGAGCACUAAGAAGUCAUUUUAUGCCACUUUUUUUUUUUAGCCCACCUGCUUAUUUUCCAUAAGAGCUGUCAUUUUCUGAUGAUGGGAAACAGGAGAUGUGUCUGGGAGACCAUCGGGGAACAAGUUUACAUAGCAUGGCUUAUACUGAUGUGCCUGGUAGUAAACAGGAGGCAUGUGGAAGCAUGUGUGCAUAAUGCCUGUUGUACCAGACUGCCUUUGUGUGGGAUUUCAAAAUAGUUCAGAGACUUAAUUGUGGUAAAAAAAAAGUAAUCUUUGGUGCGUGGUAUGGAGGAGCUGGGAGAAAGUGCGAUCUGCUCUUUGAGACAGCCUCCUUAGCAAAGGCUUGGGAAGGAGAGUUCCAUCAGUUAAAGCACCUGCAUUUUGGCCAUUCAAAGUAGUUUCCCUCCUAGCAACUCAGGUUUUAUGUAUGGCAUUUGUACAGUCAGCCAAAAAUAGCAUUUGUUAGGUAGCCCAGUAGCAGUGUCUGGUACAAAGAAACUGUAGCUUCUACAAAGAAGCCCAGAUAAGAAACAGCUGAUUCCAGAAGCAUUGCCUGAGAUAUAGCCCUUAAUCCUAUUACAGCAGGCAGUGGCCUCUCCAGGUCUCUUUCAGUUUGCUGCUGUUUUGUAUUUUAAACUGGCGGGAUUUUCAGCUUGCUGCAUGGGAAGACACCUUUCUUUUUUAAGGAAGGAGGGGGAAAACUGACUUACGUGGUAUGUGCAUGUAGGUACUUCUGUGUUGCAGCAGCUGUUGUGGUCACAGCAGGGUUAAGGAGAAAGAGGAAGGUUCCUUUGUGUGCCAAUAGGUGGGGAUUGGAGCUCAUUUUUCAAAUUAAGAGUAACUAAGGAGAGAAAGCAAUACCCUGAUAAAGAGUCCAGUAUGGUGGGAGAGUCCAAGAACAAGAGAUGCUGGCUUGGCUCGGCCUCAAGGAGUAGUUCUCGCAGAGGAAUGCGUGCAGGGAUGGAAAACAAAGCACGCCUCUGCUCCCAGCGUGCCUCCGAGGUCCGGAGAACCGCCCAGAGCAGUCACUGUCCCGACCCAGAGGGGAUGAAGCACUGAUACCGAAAGGGCUGGCUGCCACCCUUUCCCUCCGUCACUUUUAGCAUGGCCCCAGUCCUGCAGAGAAGCCCUCAGCUUUACUAUUCCGAAAUCAGUGGCAUCAGGUAAUCCUGGCAAUGUCAGCCCAGAGGGGAGGUGUUUACCCAAAGCAGAUGUGUGUGUGUCCUAGCCUGACCCUUGGUGAAUAUUGUAAGAUGGUAUUUUUCUUGCCAUACUCCCAGCACAGUGUGUGCAGGGAAGCAAUACAAUGCUUGCGCAGACUCCCUGCUGAGCUUGGCCACCAGACUGUAAGUCCAUUGAGGUGUCCGUGGUCACACCGAAUAGGACCGGGUGCUGUCUCUAGGGUGCCAGGCUGAGACCUUCCUCCCGGUCCAGAGUGGUCUGGUAAGAUCCCUUCGUGUGUUAUUUUGACCAUCCACUGGACAUGGGUCUUCAGGAGCAGCCCCAGGCUCUGGAGGUAGCUUUAGGCAGAACUGUAGUCCCACCAAAACCAGUAGACUCUUCUGGCUAUGUGGAUGCAUGUGCUUCUCUGUCUUGAAAGCUUAUAACACAAAAUCUCGAAUUGUAGGCAUUUGUGUAAAGCCAGUAUUUUGAGUUGAUCCAUCAGUCUGUUUUAGAUUAGCUAGAGCUAGCUCUAAGCGCAAGCUUUCCUCCCCAGUCAGAUCCAGUUCCAUGGAUGUUUUGGUGUGAGAGCCCCACAAGUGUCUGGAGCUGCACUGUGGAUUGUUAGUGGCAGUUUUAGGCUUGGGAUGUAGCUUUAAGCAUUUUGUUGUACACCAAAAGAAGCAGGGCAUUUCUUGAUUAUGGAGAUGUCCAUUCUCCAUUUAUCUUCCUCCUUCAAGGCUUAAUACAGCAAAGGCUGAAAAUGUAUCAGUUGGUCUUCCCGCUGCCUACCUCCCCACCCGCACUUCCUCCAGCUAUUUGCUUUAAGUUAUUUGCUCAGGAUUUGUUUUCCCUCUGACUUUACAAGUUUGCCUUGCACAGCAAAAAACCUGCUAUUUUGUUCUCUCUGGUAUUUGGCAGGAAAACAAAAAGAACACAAAGAAGAAAAGGAUAAUCAUUGUUUUUUUUCCUGAUGAUUUAACACACAAGUGUUCUUUUUAGUGCUACUGUUGCUGCUGUGUUAAAGCAUCUUCUUUUCUUAGGCACGCCAAGAGCGACUGCGGAGAGAAGAAAACAGGGUGUCUCUUAACUGUGCUUUCCUGGGGCUGGCAGUGGGCUCUAAGCUGAGACCUGCCCAUCCGCCUGGUGCUUGCUAGCAAGGCUCCCUCACAUGUUAUUUUGAUCCAGGUGAUGGAGUUGGACAGAGCGGCUUUUGUGCAGGGAUUUGCAAAACUCGUCUCUUUGCUGUUCUAUUCCAGUGGAAGUUGAAACAGGUUGGGGGUAACCUUCCUCUCCUCAGGACGUACGAAACGGUUGAUGAAAGAUCCCCGGUGGCUUCUUCCAAAUAACCGGGCAAGGACUGGUUUGACAGCAGCAACAGGUGAUGCACAGGGCACACUGAACGGGAAGGCAAUCCAGCAAGGCCAGUGGGAUGAACUCUCCUACGGGAGUCUUCUGAGGGCCAGAAGGAAGAAGCCUGGGGGUACAGGCUAUUUUCUCGCCUUUCUUUCUCUAGUGCUCUCAGUCAUUCCCUGCCCCCUCCUGCUUGCAUGAGAGAAAACGAAGAGUCCCUCACCUUCCUCAUACUGCACAGCGGGUGGAAGAGGCUUGCUCCCAGAAUGAAAGAAGAAGCAGGAAGAGGAAAAUAAACAGCUGAGUCAUUAGUGCAAAAAAAAAAACCUUCAGGAAAGGGGACGACUGGAAGGGGCUGGCCAUGAAACUUCAAGAGAAACCACAAAUACGGCAGUGGACGUUUACAAAGGCAGUCCCUCUCCCUCUGCGGAGAAAGGGCUACAAUGGCUCCCACAGAGGACACGGAGGGUACCAGGCAGCCCUUGCCCAGGGACAGUGGCAGCAUUCAGCGGGUUCCAGCUGCUGAGAAAUAUGUGGAAAUUACAUGCUGUAAGUCAGUCAGCUAAAUAAACAAGGCGGAAAAAUGGCUGAGUCAGAAAAAGUGGACUAUUAAGUUCAAAUGCGUUAUUAAUUGGAAAACUGCUUAACACAGCUGGAGAUCCUAUGGGCAUGGGUAAACGAAAAUAUGAUGAUGAGAGAACCAAUUAAAGCACUAAUUAGUCCUUCUAGGAAGUUGUCCAGGUCCAUUAAUGAUAACCCUUAAUUGUAAGCUAUGGAACAGACAACUUAUCUGUAUUGCUGCUGCUGCCUUGAGCAUGUCCUCUGUGUGUGUGUGUGUGUGUGUCUUGCUUUUUUGUGUCUAUACAGAAAUCAUCAACUUAAGAAACUGCACACUUACCAGUGGCAAGUGCUGGUCAACGAAAAAUUAGAAUCUUGCUCUUCCGACUACCCCGUGGGUAGUUCACCGAAGAUUUAUGUUCUGGGAUAGAAAUUAUGCAGGACCAUUUUCUGAAAGGAAGGACUACCAAUUUUUCCCUCUCAUUCCCACAGCAGCAGAAAUAAAGCAGCAGUGCUGGAGCUGAAACCGUUUGCGAGAGCUAAGCAUUAAGUAUUAAUAACCAAGUAAUUAUCGUACCAAUAACUAUAAUGAAAAACACAAGGUAGUGUUUCCAGAAGAUUAUGCUUUGCAGAGAUGGAAAGAGGUUUCCUGCAGUCCAUUGCGCUGCCUGUACAGAAUAUAGUUUCGAGGCUGAGGGAUUCAACAAUUACUGAACUGGACGUUCACUUGAUCUUGGCCUCUGCAGCUCUGCCUUCACCAAUAAAAGCAACUGUGGAAUUAGUAGGGUGAGGGAAAACGCCCAUGUGCUUGCAAAUAAGAACGCUGGCCUCCUCAAUUUCUAUGUAUGUGGAGCUGUUUUUCUGUUCAAGUGCAUCGAGAAGAAACCUUCACAUGUUUGUGUCUUGGACUGUAAGCGCCCCCUGAAAAUAACAGUUUUUCAAGGUGUAGUAAAUCUGAAUGAGUAUGUGCAAAGGGUCGCUUCUCCUUCUGCUCAGAGACAAUAAAACAUGUACAACAAACAGAAACAUUAUCAGGAUGCCAGAAGCCUUCUUGUAGGUGAAAAUUAUCUCAGACCAUCAUGUUGGCCUUCUGUGUUUUCCCAAAUCUCAGAUUCCUAAGUUUUCUCUGAAACACUAAGUUUUAUACUCCAGAAACAAAUACAGUUUUAGGUUCCCAUCCAAGUUGCUGGGCAGAUUUUCAUUAGUGUAUGAACUAAAUGGCGUGUGGACCUUUGCAUACACCCAUUUAGUUUGCAAACUCCAGGGCAGGCAAGCGGCACCUUGCUUUUAAUAGCUAUACUGGCUGGAGUCCUACUGUGAGGAAAUGAAAGGAAUGCUCUGUUCAUCGAAUGACCAAGGCUUAUUUCCUUCUUUCCAUGACUGUACAGUUGGACCUCUAGGUCCUUCUGAUGCGUGAGCCCCAGCUAAACUGCACCACGUGUGCUUCAGUAGCUAGUUACUGAGUAGGACAGUCCUGAUGGGCUUGUAAUAACAGCCUUGCCUGGGAACAACAGCUCCUCUUUUUGCUUUGCUCUGCAUCCACGUGCAAGGGUGCUAGACUCCCUAUUCUAAACUUCCAGUCGAAACCAGGUGGGAUAAGUCAUCUCUCGAGAAGCAUCUGCCUGCCACUGGUGACUAAGACUGAGUGCUUAAUUUAGAGCAGAUGCCCAGCUUUUAAAUAGAUGGCUCAAAUUAGGUGAGGCAAAUCCCACCCACAGGGAAAGUUUCUGAUCAGCUGAAGCUCGUGCAGGACUAUGGAAAUGUGUGUUAAAUUUUCCAUUGUUGAGAUUUAAAAAACUGUUGGGAAAAUCAAAUACCAAAUAACUGUAUAAAUUAUAAUAGCCUGAAACAACCUUGCAAACCACUGGCUCAUGGAACAAAACAUGAUCUUACAGCUCUUGUGUGGUGGAGAUUCCUCUAUUUGCUUUCCUUUCAAGAUGCAGCUGCAAUAACAAGGCAUAUGUGAUUUUAAUGUGACACCAUAAUCUGUCAACCCUGAGAACUAGGGAGCAGGCCCAUAUAAGAUAACUAGCUCAACCUCACAAUGAUAAACAUGUCAAGAUACAAAAAUCAGUUCUUCCCUUACAAAUGAGAGAAAGAUGUCAUGUAAUUGGAGAUGUCAUGCUAUGCUGGGAUGAGCAACAUUCCCACAAUUAAUCAUACCAGAUACAUUAUGUAGUAGUUGUUGCUUGAAGACAAAGGAGGAAUAAAUACUCAUGUAAACAUGCCAAAUACGAACUCUCCACAGAUGUUGAUUGCUGUUCUGUAUUUAGCAUGAAGCACAUCAGUACGUGGAAGAUAUGCUCUACACCCAAGCAGAAUGAUAGCUCGGAAAAGGGCUUAUGACUCUGUGUGGAGGCUGCAGGUAAUGUGGCUGGUGCCUUUUCUAGGGUCCUUAGGAAACUGGAUGUUAGGAGCUCCCCUAUUGACAGCAAAGGAAAACUUGCCAUUUUCAUGAAUUAGGACUGCACUGGGGCCCUGGUGAACAAGAGAUGUUUGGCUGACGAUACAGUGGCUUAGAAACUGAAGGCGAGUUCAAAAGUUCCUAACAACACUUCCAAACAAGAACUUUGUGAAUACAAUGCAAAAGCGACCAUGCAUAUUUGCUGGAAUAAAAAACCAAAUUAGCUUCAAGCUGGGUUUGUGAUUCCUCCCUGACUUGUAUGUUUACUUUUCAUUAAUAUUGAUUCCUUCUGACCUUCAAGUGCCUCUUCUUCAUUGUACAUGCUCCACAGUGACUAGCUUACUGGCAAUAAUAUUAAUAGCAACAGAAAAUGUUAACAAUAGAGACUACUUGCAUGGAGAAAUGUCACCUUGUGAAUAAAGAUUUUUUUUUUUUCAUCAGAAAACCUCAUUUGGGGACCAAAAAUGAUAUACUGUGUGACCUUAUAUAUAGUGAAGCUGACUGGUAUUGCAUGAAUUUUGAUAUCAUAACAAAUGGCUGACAAGCAGUGCAGAGACAUAUGAUCCAUCCUGAAAACAGCUCAGACAUGAGAUUGAUAUAUAAGAUUAGGAAGCCAUAACCUCUAGGUGACCCAUAUGGAAAUAAGAGCCAGGCUAAAUUCAAUGAGUAAAAUGCUUGCUUAGGUCUAGCCAAAAUGAAGAGGUUUUUACAUUGAUUUAAUUCUUGCCUUUGACUUUUUCACUGCUUCUCUUUGAUUUCCUCGUCAGCAGCAAAGUUUCCAUUCCCAUCACCAGCAGUGAUUUGGGAGCGUGGUUGGAGAGCGCUUCUGAAGACACUUCUCCCUUGGCAUCUGCCAGGGUUUCUGUAGCUGUGCUGAUGCCUUCCAGUCCUUGGCCUGGGUUUACUUCAGCUGUGUCCCUCUGGCCUCAUGGGAGAGACAGCUAGGCAAUGGCAAAGGUCUCCUCCUCCUCUGUUUCUGAAGUACCUAUUCCACGAAGGGAUGCGGUGCCUUCAGGAGCCGACGUUCUCCCCUAGGUGUAAUCAGAACCGAGAGAUCCAGCCUCCCGUGCUAGACACACCGCAUACUUGGAGUUACAUGUAAUAUAUCCAGGCCUCGAUGUUCCUUUGCUAAUUGAUUUCUGCUCCACGGGCUAGCCUGUUCAGUAAGCGAAAUUCUCCUAGAAGGAAAAAAUGCCUUUCGCUCUAUGUUUUCCAUGGGGAGCUCUUGUAGAAUAAGGAGUGUGGAACAGCUUACUCCGAAAUAGCUGUGCCAGGAGUCCUUCCGCCCUUCUUCCCAGGGUGAAAUUUGUUUUUGUUUUUGUUUUAGUACUAUGGAAAAAAUCCUCUUUCUAUAAGAAGCAGCUAAACACAGAAAUCUUUUACAGUCCCCUCACAAAGCUGUAA